CGCGAAUUCGCCCUUCGGGGUGCAGCAGGCGCGAAUACUUUACAAUGCUGGCAACAGCGAUUAGGGGACCUCUAGUGCCAGGAUACAAUCUUGGCUGUCGCGAUGCCUAAAAAGGAUUGCAUACCAAGGGCCGGGCAAUACCGGUGCCAACCGCCGCGGUAACACCGGCGGCUCGAGUGGUAACCGCUAUUAUUGGGUCUAAAGGGUCUGUACCGCGGCCGAGAUAAUUCUCUUUGGGAAAUCCAGCUGCUCAACAGUUGAGGCUUUCACAAGAUACUGUUCGGCUCGAGACCGGGAGAGGUGAGAGGUACUUCAGGGGUAGGGGUGAAAUCUUGUAAUCCUUGAAGGACCACCAGAGACAAAUGCGUCUCACCAUAACGGAUCUUACGACUAGGGACUAAAGCUAGGGGCACGAACCGGAUUAAAUACCCGGGUAGUCGUAACCGUAAACGAUACUCCCUAGGUGUCAACCACUGUGCAACCGUGGUUAGUGACCUACGGAAUCCGUAAAACUAGCCAUCUGGGAAUUACAGUCGCAUGGAUGAAACAUAUAUGAAUUGGGCGGCGACCAC
rnacentral:rRNA from 1 species